rnacentral:lncRNA from 1 species
UAUUUUGCAUAUUUACUUUCCUUCCAAACCACAUCAUUGUAUCACCUAAAUUUCAACUACUAAAACUUCUCACCAUUUCUUUUUGAGAAAUAAGUAGCAAACUACCUGCUUCAUUCAUUAAGCGAAAUGAACUAAGCGUACAUGAUGGAGACAGCUUGGGCCUCCUGAAAGAGCCGAAAAAAUACAAGAAAGAAAAUCCAAAAUAAAGAAUUCUACACCUACCGAUUAGAGAAAGUAAACAAAAAAAGCGGGGUGGAUAACGAGAAGGAAGAAAUGGGGACCGAGCAUGGAAGAAGGGACAAGCAAGGGUCAAAGGGCUCCGUUCCAGGCAUUGGUUAAAGAAGCGACACGUUCAAAAGCCCGGAUAGCAUUGGGAAGCACCUCGCGGAAGAUAGUGUUGUUGCGCUCAGUUCAGACAACCCACCAGAUUGCCGCCAAACGGAUUAAACUUUUCGAUUUCGUGGUGGCAUUGGGUUAAACGG